rnacentral:rRNA from 1 species
UACGAAGGGGGCUAGCGUUGCUCGGAUUUACUGGGCGUAAAGGGUGCGUAGGCGGGUUUUUAAGUCAGGGGUGAAAUCCUGGAGCUCAACUCCAGAACUGCCUUUGAUACUGAAGAUCUUGAGUCCGGGAGAGGUGAGUGGAACUGCGAGUGUAGAGGUGAAAUUCGUAGAUAUUCGCAAGAACACCAGUGGCGAAGGCGGCUCACUGGCCCGAUACUGACGCUGAGGCACGAAAGCGUGGGGAGCAAACAGG